GUGAAUCAUCAAAUUUUUGAACGCAAAUUGCGCUUCCUAGCAUCCCGGGAAGUAUGCCUGUUUGAAGGUCAGUAUUAACAAAAAAUCGGUUUGGUUGCAAAUUGUUACGUUUCCGGAGGUUGGGCUAUCUUAACUUUUUUGGUUUAGGGGCUUAAAAUUGACCUUUUUUGCGCCUUUUUAGACGUACCUAAAUUUUUUUUUUAUUUGUCCAUUUUUAAUGCCAAAAUCUUAUUAGAUGCCAUCAACUC
rnacentral:misc_RNA from 1 species